CGGCCCUCGGCUGACGGCUCAGUAACACGUGGAUAAUCUACCCUAAGGUGGAGGAUAACCUCGGGAAACUGAGAAUAAUACUCCAUAAGUCUAGGAUACUGGAAUGUACUUAGGCUGAAAACUUCGGUGCCCUAGGAUGAGUCUGCGGACUAUCAGGUUGUAGUCAGGGUAAAGACCUGACUAGCCUACAACGGAUACGGGUUGUGAGAGCAAUAACCCGGAGAUGAUAUCUGAGACACGAUAUCAGGCCCUACGGGGCGCAGCAGACGCGAAAACUUCACACUGCGCGAAAGCGCGAUGAGGGAAUCCCAAGUGCUUGCACGUAAGUGUAAGCUGUUUCUAUGUCUAAAACGCAUAGAGAGUAAGAGCUGGGUAAGACGGGUGCCAGCCGCCGCGGUAA
rnacentral:rRNA from 1 species